rnacentral:lncRNA from 1 species
CUCACAAUAGUGGUGACGGGUGCCUGAGACGUUUGAUUCAUCUUGUGAGAUAAAAUACAGAACUGUAGCAGUCCCUCUUGGUGCUGUUAGGAGCAAGGCGGAAUGAGACCAUUUUUUGUUUUCAACAGAGUAUGGUAAUGUACUUAGCUGUAAGGCUCUUAUUUUCAAACAAUUUGCAUCAUAUUCAUCUGUGUUAGAAAAAUGGAAAUAAAAAAAUUUGAGUCAGCUAAAACUGAUUGUCUCCUUUCAUUGGCUUAUGGGAUUCCACUCCACACAAACAACUACAAUGCCAGCUGGUAUUUCAGCUGGAAACAUCUGCAGGACCAUAAAUCCUUUCUUGCAUAAUUUUUUUUCCUGUUAAAUUAAGUCCCCCCUUUCUGUUAGUAAUUUUACUCAUUGAAAAAAAAUGUGCUCUGGAGAGUGACAGUCAUGAACAUAGAUGGAACAGAAUAUUAAAUUACAGAAUAAAAUAUUGAAAUAAGACAAUUAUUGGAUAAUUAGGGCAAAAACUCAAUGUAUUUAUAACUUUCAGGUAAUCAGAGCUAAAAAAGCAUAAUACAAUCAAAUCAGUUUUUAACAUAUAGAUAGUACCUCUUAUUUUUGUUAUAGUUUCCAAUAAAAUCUCCCAGUAGCACAAAUUAUUGAUAGUAAAAUCAUUGAUUAGUGACAGUAGAUAAAUAACUCGUAAUUUUCAUCUGACAGCUAUUUGAUACAACCAUGCAGGAAUAUCAUUUUAUCAUAAGAAUAUCAAAUUAUUUGACAUAUUAAUAGUAAUAUAACAUAGUCAUAUAAUAAUAUAAUAGGAUUAAUUUAUCACAAUACACUUAUGUCUUAUAAUACAUAAUGCCAUUAAGCCUGUAAUUCAUUAAUACUGUGAAAUGCUUCCUGGAACCACUAGCAUUGAUUAGUAAACACAAACACCAUGGGGCUGCCAAUAUCUAACUGAAGAUCUAAUAGGGAAGGUAAGAAUGGUACCAUUUCUAUUAGCACUAUUACACCCUCUACCAGUCCCAUUUGGUAAAUGCUGUCCAGAAAACUCAAAUCCUGGGGAAAGUAGGCAUUAUUACAUUUAAUCUCACUUCUUAAAAUCACUGGGCAAAGUAAUUUGGAAUUAGUUAUACUCUGGAGUGCAGAUCUCUUUAUUUGGUUCUUAUGUUUUUGAAGUCCAAUAUUCAGAUAGAUUCCUUUUUCCACCCUCUCCCUAUAAAGAAUUCAAAUCCUAAAGAAAUGUGGAACACAUUUCUUCCCAGCCUAAUGAAAAACAGAAUCUUUUACAAAUUGUGAAUCCA